CGACCCCAAGAGUUCCGAUGCCUCAACCGCUCAGCCACCGGAAUCGCAGCCACUGCAGGCUCCACCGACGCCUGCCUCCAACCAGCCGAAACGACCCCCAGCAGCCCCGGAGAACACUCCUUCGGUUGCAAGCGGGGUAAAGUCCUGGGCACAAGUCAGCGUCAGCUAUGGAGCACAUGGAGAUGGUGGAAGGGCAUCAAGCCUACUGUCGCGAUUCUCUCGAGAGGAAUUUCUGACCCAGCAGGCGGCUGGCGACCAGAACAAGGCUGCCAAGGAGAGGGAGUCUGCCAAAUAGUCGUCUGGGCCCGGACCAAGCCUCUGCCCCCAAAAUUCUACAACUUGGAGGGACGGAGGUGGGCUUGGCUCUGAUGAGCUGGAGGGUCCGGACUCCAAACUUCAUCAUGGUCAUGAUCCCCAGGGGGCGCUGCAGCCUUCAGGCCCACCCCAGUUCCCUCCCUACCGCGGAAUGAUGCCGCCUUUCAUGUAUCCUCCAUAUCUCCCAUUCCCUCCGCCCUAUGGACCCCAGGGGCCUUACCGAUACCCAACUCCUGAUGGGCCCAGCCGUUUUCCCCAUGUGGCGGGCCCCCGAGGCUCAGGGAGAUGCAGUGUCUUGCCCGAGAUCACUCAGCUGGCUAAGUAACAGGGGAGUGGGAGAUGAACUUAGAUCAGAUCAGUACAACCCCCAAGCUCUUUCAACUAAGCACCAUGCCCUUUUUUGUCUUGUGUUGUUUUGUAAGGCACUGGUAUUCACUGUGUAAAAGUCUCACAUAUUCCACUCAUGUGACAACAUCGUCGCAACUUUUCAAGUCUGCUCCCAUAGGCUCCACGUACACAACAAUGUGACUUUUCAUGGCCAUACUAGGCCCUGUGCCCCUCUUAGUGAGUCCCCUGAUGAAGGGAAACACUCAUUUUUCAAGCCUAUUAGGACCCAGUUUCACCAGUGAAGAUCACCAAGUAAGGACAAGGGACUGAUAAAGACUCAAAGGCUGAAUGAGUCAGGUCCAGGGGGGCUCGUGAGGUUGCCCUUCUGGUAGCUCAUUGACUAAAAUGUCUACACUUUCAAUGAAGUUUUAGGGAUAUUAUUGAUUGAAAAUGAAGGAGAAAUUCCUAGGUAAUAUUAAUCAAGAUACUGUAGAACAUCUCUUGCUUUCCUUCCUCUCCUUCUUGUAAGUGCACACUGUGGGAAUACAACAGACUAAACUCCUGAAUUUACCAUUUUCCUGCAGCCAAUAGGUUGCUGCUGUUCACUGGGGCCUCAAUAACCUUACAAGCUGGGACUGUAGUGUUUGGUGAUUUAAUUAAAUGGACAUUGAAUGCUCUACCCAAUGCAAAAUAAUCCUGCACUAGAAAGUGGGCCUAUGGAAAAGCUUGCUCCGUCCCUUUGAACAGUUAGAUAAUUUGAAAGAAUCCACAUUUAAUUAGAUUCCAGGAUUCCUCUUGUUGGGACAACAAAAUAAACCUACUGUGGAAGCUGGAGAACAUAUGGGUGGUGCUGACAAGCGGGGAGGUUAGAGCCUAGAACAAUCAUUUGAAAGACCUAUGAUGAAUAUCCACCUUUGGGUGUCACAUCUGUCCCUUACAUAUUCCUAGGCAGGUAGUUUUGAUGUGGAAUGAGGAAUAAAUAUUAAAGAACCAAAGGUAAAAAUCUUGGUCUAUUAUGUCUGGCUUCUACCCAUUUGUCUUCCUAUGUGGACCUCUAAAAUGACACAAUUUGAGACAAAAUAUACUUUAGGUAAGUAUGUUAGACAAUAUUCUUUUCCCUCACCAUCAUAGAAAGAGAAACCAGAAAGACAGAUGAAGAAAGACUUGUUAAACCAUUACCUAUUUUGUUAAACAUAAAAUAAAAAAGACCCAAGGGU
ensembl:lncRNA